rnacentral:misc_RNA from 1 species
UCUCCGUUGGUGAACCAGCGGAGGGAUCAUUACAGAGUUGCAAAACUCCCAAACCAUUGUGAACGUUACCUAUCCCGUUGCUUCGGCGGGCGGCCCCGGCCCCGCGCCCGGCGCCGCCCGGCCCCCCGUGGGCGCCCGCCGGAGGUAAAGCAAACCCUCGAAUUGCAUGGACUCUCUGAGUCUUCCGUACUGAAUAAGUCAAAACUUUCAACAACGGAUCUCUUGGUUCUG